rnacentral:rRNA from 1 species
AUUGAACGCUGGCGGCAGGCUUAACACAUGCAAGUCGAGCGAGAGGCGGAGGGGUGAGAAAUGUCUGGGAAACUGCCCGAUGGAGGGGGAUAACUACUGCACAUGGUAGCUUAUACCGCAUACCACCAGAUGACCCUAGAUGGGAUUAGCUAGUAGGUGGUGUAAUGGCUCACCUAGGCGACGAUCCCUAGCUGGUCUGAGAUGAUGACCGGCCACACUGCAACGGAGACACGGUCCAGACUCCUACGGGAGGGCGCAGUGGGGAAUAUUGCACAAUGGGCGCAAGACGGAUGCAGCCAUUCCGCGUGUGUGAAGAAGGCCUUCGGGUUGUAAAGCACUUUCAGCGUGGAGGCGUUACUGGCAGAAUAAGCACCGGCUAACACCGUGCCAGCAGCCGCGGUAAUAC